rnacentral:tRNA from 1 species
UCCCCAGUGUCUCAGAGGUAAAGAAUCUGCCUGCCAAUGCAGGAGAUGCAGGUUCGAUUCCUGGGUCGGGAA